CCUGUCAAGAUUAUGUCAAUAUGGCGGCUGAGAAGUAAACAAAACAAACAUAAAAAAUGUUAUUUUAUCAUGAUUCUAUCAUCUUAAUGUGUUUCAGUAGUGUUUUAGUGGUUUUAGAUUAUUUUAGUUGCGUUUCUGUGUAAUUUUGUGUUGUACAAAGAUUAAUUUAACAUUUUCUCUGGAAGUAUUAAAACUGAACUGAAAGGUUAAAUGCAAUUACAACCUAAAGAUUUUACUUAUGAAAUGAAGAAUGCUCCCUGUCUGCUCUAAUCAUUUUAUAUCUGGAAGACCAGCCGACUUAAGGAUAACAAUCCAGAUUGGGGAGCAGUAUCAAGGGAAUAGGGUACCUACAAGAAAAAAUUUGCCUUUUUAUUCCUAUUGAAAUCAUUUAUAAGGCACUGGACUGUCUUAUAUUCUGCAAAUACUAGGUUUCCAAAAGAUCCUGAAAGGCGUGAAGUAUGGAUCAGAUUUGUCAAUAGAGGAGUAUGGAAACCUAGCAAAAAUAGUGUAUUAUGUUCAACAACAUUUUUUAGGAAAACAUAUUGACAGAACUUUACUUUCAUCUGUUUGUUUGAGAGACUGUGCUGCCCCAAUAGCUUAUGUCAUACAGAAUCAGCUUAGAGAAGUGGUCUACAAAAAACCAGGAAGGUAAUGGAAUAUGUGGCUACGAAAGGCAAAAGAAAGAUUUACAAAGCAAAUGUGACACAUUUUUUUUAAUAUUUAGGAAUAAAUUACAUUAAAAAAUGUAUGAAAAGAUUUUGUGCAAUAAAAAUGUUUAUAUUUA